AAGUCGUAACAAGGUUUCCGUAGGUGAACCUGCGGAAGGAUCAUUACCAAAUCCAAAUACCCAACCCCAUGUGAACUAUUGUUUGUUGUCCUUGGGGGGAAGAAGUUGUUUAUAAUAUAUAGGUGUAAAUCUGUUGUUAUACUGCGACUUUCCCCCAAAAGAAUCCGAACACUUCGGUGUUUGUGAUUCUUGAUGAACCACUUUUUUUAUUUGUUUUGGAAUGAACUUUUAUUAAAUUAAAUAAAAGACAACUUUUAACGGUGGAUCUCUUGGCUCGUG
rnacentral:misc_RNA from 1 species